AUCCAGCUGACGAGUUCUAAAUAGGACGAAACGUGCAUCCUGAAU
rfam:Schistosoma mansoni strain Puerto Rico chromosome 3, complete genome